AUUGAACGCUGGCGGCAGGCCUAACACAUGCAAGUCGAACGGUAACAGGAUGCAUCUUGCUGCUUCGCUUACGAGUUGCUUACGUGUGAUUAAUGUCUUUGAAGCUUCCUUAUUUAUGGGGUUAUCUACUGGAAACGGUAUCUAAUACCGCAUAUUUUCUCAAGUCCAAAGUUGGGUACCUUCUUUCCUCUUUCCUUCGUCUUUUCCCAGAUGGUUUUAGCUUUUUUGUUGGGUAACGGCUCACCAAGGCGACGAUCCCUAGCUGGUCUGAGAGGAUGACCAGCCACACUGGAACUGAGACACGGUCCAGACUCCUACGGGAGGCAGCAGUGGGGAAUAUUGCACAAUGGGCGCAAGCCUGAUGCAGCCAUGCCGCGUGUAUGAAGAAGGCCUUCGGGUUGUAAAGUACUUUCAGCGGGGAGGAAGGGAGUAAAGUUAAUACCUUUGCUCAUUGACGUUACCCGCAGAAGAAGCACCGGCUAACUCCGUG
rnacentral:rRNA from 1 species